GAAAUGCGAUAAGUAAUGUGAAUUGCAGAAUUCAGUGAAUCAUCGAAUCUUUGAACACACAUUGCGCCCGCCAGAAUUCUGGCGGGCAUGCCUGUUCGAGCGUCAUUUCAACCCUCGAGCUCCCCUUUCGGGGGGAGCCCGGCGUUGGGGACCCGGCGCUAACAACGCCGGCCCCGAAAUGGAGUGGCGGCCCGUCCGCGGCGACCUCUGCGUAGUAACAACCACUCGCACCGGGACCCGGGCGCGGCCACGCCGUAAAACACCCCACCUUCCGAAUGUUGACCUCGAAUCAGGUAGGAAUACCCGCUGAACUUAAGC
rnacentral:misc_RNA from 1 species